AUUGAACGCUGGCGGCAUGCCUUACACAUGCAAGUCGAACGGUAACAGGUCUUCGGAUGCUGGCGAGUGGCGAACGGGUGAGUAAUACAUCGGAACGUGCCUAGUAGUGGGGGAUAACUACUCGAAAGAGUGGCUAAUACCGCAUGAGAUCUACGGAUGAAAGCAGGGGAUCGCAAGACCUUGUGCUACUAGAGCGGCCGAUGGCAGAUUAGGUAGUUGGUGGGAUAAAAGCUUACCAAGCCGACGAUCUGUAGCUGGUCUGAGCGGACGAUCAGCCACACUGGGACUGAGACACGGACCAGACUCCUACGGGAGGCAGAAGUGGGGAAUUUUGGACAAUGGGCGCAAGCCUGAUCCAGCAAUGCCGCGUGCAGGAUGAAGGCCUUCGGGUUGUAAACUGCUUUUGUACGGAACGAAAAGCCCUGGGUUAAUACCCUGGGGCCAUGACGGUACCGUAAGAAUAAGCACCGGCUAACUACGUGCCAGCCGCCGCAGUAAGAC
rnacentral:rRNA from 1 species